GUAUCUGGAUCAUUACUCAUUAGGUGUAUAUAUGUUGGGCGUAGUUAACUAAACCAUUUUGAAUUUUACUAUGUAUUUUAGACUUUUAGUGCCUAAAUUCUAUCUAAAAUGACUGCAAUGAUGAAACUGUGGGGAUGAAUUUGCUGUUUGGGAAGUAAAAAUGAAGUAAAAUGUGACCCAAAUUAACCGUCUUGAUUUUCUGAAACUGAAAAUCUCACAAUCUAUCAAAAUGAAUUUGGUACUUUACCAAAAUGAAAUAUCGAUGUGCAUAGCAAAGAAUCUAGUAGUUUCUUCCUGUACCUUCUGCUGAUUGUGUUGUAGUGGCUAAUCUGAUCUCGCUGUAAAAAAUGAUUUGUAGUAAUAGACUCUCAAUGAUGGAUGGUUCUAAAGCUGUACCAUUGAAGGAAUUGCUUCUAGAAGUAGAUGAAACAACUGAGGAUGAAUAUGCCUUGCAGUCUAGAACUCUAGAUUACUGCAAAAGUUCACUAUUGAUUCAAACUUUUCAUGGAAUCUUCUUUCUUUGGAUGGGUAAAAUAUUAUUGCUGGUAACAUCAAAACCAUAUUUUAUCUGCUAAUUAGGCAGUCAAUUUUGUAGAAUUUUAAUACGAUCUCCAAUUUUUCUUGGAUCUUUGAAGUGUCUAGCAGUCUAGUAGAUGUACCACGCAUCAAGUAUGGUUAUCUUGUUGGUAAAGAGAUGAAAAGCGCUGCAUGGAAUUGGUUAGAUAUACCAAACCCCACAGACGAAUGCUCUAAGAAGGCACCGGAGAAGUUCUUUGCCGCAGCUACAAGGAAUCCUGCAUGGAACCUGGCAUUGAUGGUUGGUACAAUAGACAUCCCUGAUUGGUGCCAUGUGGAGACCUAUGGAAGUGAAGGUAAAAAUAUCUAUUGAGAAGCACCUUCAGCUGAGGAUCUGGCUCUUUUCCACAGCAAGUCUCCUAUUUCAUAUAUUUUAAAGGCCAAAACACCCACCCUUUGUCUCUUGGGUGCUCAAGAUAUUCGCCUCCCAGUUUGUAGCGGUUUGCAAGCAUGUAGUAUAACUAGGUGUUGAACAUUCAAUCCACUUAUAGUAUGCUCGGGCAUUAAAGGAAAAAGGAGCUGCUGUGAAAGUCAUUGUGUUCCCAAAUGACAACCAUCCAAUUGACAGGUAGAUGCAUGAUUCCAAUAUGGCUUUUUCUUUCUGUUCACUAGUAAAUCUUACAUGCAAGCUUGGAUUUCAAUCUCAUUGGAAUUCCUGUCUGCAGGCCUCAAUCUGACUUUGAGAGCUUUCUAAAUAUUGGUGUGUGGUUAAAGAGGUAUUUGCUGUAAAUGAACAGGAGUUUGGGAGCAAAUGCUGAUUUAAGAGCUUGUUGAGCUUGUUAAACUGUCAACGCGCUUCUUCCAAGAUGGCGAGGAGGGUCUCCUCGUAAUCAUAUAUCUCACCUUUUCUCCACUCCCUCACACUAGUUCUCUUCUAUCUACGGAAGCUUUACUGACACCAUGACACUAGAAAAGACCGCUGAAUGCGUCUUGUAUUCAAAUUGAAGACGCCAAUUUCCCGGCAGAUAUUUGAAUCCAAAGAAUAUAAACCCUGGAUAUUGUUUGUUGCAAAAUUAAUGCAAUUCCCUUCCCA